UACGUAGGGUGCGAGCGUUGUCCGGAAUUAUUGGGCGUAAAGAGCUUGUAGGCGGUCUGUCGCGUCUGCUGUGAAAAUCCGGGGCUCAACCCCGGACUUGCAGUGGGUACGGGCAGACUAGAGUUCGGUAGGGGAGACUGGAAUUCCUGGUGUAGCGGUGAAAUGCGCAGAUAUCAGGAGGAACACCGGUGGCGAAGGCGGGUCUCUGGGCCGAAACUGACGCUGAGGCACGAAAGCGUGGGGAGCAAACAGG
rnacentral:rRNA from 1 species